CGUAGGGGGCAAGCGUUGUACGGAUUUAUUGGGCGUAAAGAGCUCGUAGGCGGCUAAGUAAGUCGGGUGUCAAAGCCCCAGGCUCAACCUGGGAUCCCACCCGAUACUGCUUUGGCUAGAGUCCGGUAGGGGAGCGUGGAAUUCCUGGUGUAGCGGUGAAAUGCGCAGAUAUCAGGAGGAACACCAGCGGCGAAGGCGGCGCUCUGGGCCGGAACUGACGCUGAGGAGCGAAAGCGUGGGUAGCAAACAG
rnacentral:rRNA from 1 species